rnacentral:lncRNA from 1 species
GGCAUUUGUACACCAGUUGGACUGAGGCAUUUGAACCCUUUAUGUGAGUUACUAAAGCCAAGAAAUACACAUUUUGUAGAAUGAAAGUUGAAUUUGUGUUUUUGGUAUGGUCUAAGGCAAGGAAAACAGGCACAUCCAAAGACUUUUAUGAAUUUAUAGUUAACUUACUCAUUGUAUAGCAGUUGACAGGGUGAUUUCAUGUCGAGGACUAAUGUUCGCAACCUAUAAAUCAAAUAAGUAGCAGUUUGAAAGGACUCUCACCAAUAGUGCAAGGGCAUACUAGCUUCGGCAAAAGAUGUCAGUCUGAUUUCUGUUAUAUGCUUGUGUUUUCUUUCAGAUCUACCAUUUUGGACUGAGGUGUGAGGACAGGAAAGUCUCAUAUCAAUACCAGAUUGGAGAGCUAAGUUAGUAAAAGCUCUAAACUCACAUCCCCAAUCUGAUUGAAGUGCCUUAAUCUUCUUGUCAAGUUUAUUUUCGACUAAGCUUUUGAAUUGAAUAAACACACCUAGGGCAUCUGAUUUAUUUCUCAUAGGAUAUAUCUAGGUAUACCUACUGUAGUCGUCAAUGAAAAGGAUAUAGUAUCUAAAAGCAUUUGUAGAGUUUAGGGGUGCAAGAACCCAGGCAUCUGUAUAGAUUAGGUCUAGGGGGCUGAGGCAUGUGAGAUGGACAAUAUAAAUGGUAGAGAAUGUGAUUUACCAAAUUGGCAGGCAUCACGGAAAUGAUUGUUUUCAUUGUCAUGAAUUUUUUUAUUACAAGACUUGAGCACUUGUGACAUCACACGAUUGGCAAGAUGUCCAAGUCUCAUAUGCCAUAUUUCAAAACUAGACUCUGACUUUCUAGCACUUUUGGGAACAUCAGACACUUUGGACUUGACUACAGAACUUGAGAAAUUCGACUUAUUGGGGUAGACUGACACUUGGUAGGAAGACCUUUUUGUUGGUUCAUUUGGGUGUUCAACCUGAUACAAUCCAUCUUUAAGCUUUCCCUACAGAAGUAACUUCUGGGUUUGUUUGUCCUUAAUAGCACAAGAGUCAGAGUGAAAUUCCAUAAAAACACUGUUGUCAGAAGUUAACUGUGAAACAGUCACCAGAUUUUUCUUAAUUGAUGGCACCAACAAUGUGUUACUGAGAAUUAAUGACUUGUGAUUCAAAGUUUUCAAGUGUUUGGUGCCAACAUGUGAGAUUUGAAGUUCAUUUCCAUUUCCUACAGUAAGACUUUCCUUACCAUUAUACUCACGAGCUUCAAUCAGAUUUUCUUUCACAGCAGUAACAUGAUUACUUGCUCCUGAAUCAGCAUACCAGGCUGGAUCUACAACAAUACUUGGUAAAGUCACAACAACAGCUGGUCCUAAGCGAUUGUUCUGGUAUUGGCGAUUAGGUUUGGUACCCAUGUAUCUUUCAUCAUAGCGAUUGAAGCAUCUUUCUAUUGAGUGAUUAUUCAUUCCACAGAUUUGACAUGGGCCCUUUUCUCCAAUUUGCCUACUUCUUCUACCUCUGCUUCUUCCCAUAGAGUUACUAUUUCUACCACCAAAAUUAGUGUUUGACUUAUGCACAAAGUUUGCUGAGACCUGGCUUAAGUUUACUAAGACCAUGUUGUUUUUCACAGCAUUCAGAUGUUCAAGCCUGCUCUCAUAAGUCAUAAGUGUGGAUUGUAGCUCAUGCCAAGAGAUGGAAUCUCUGCUGUUAAUUUGAACCACAAUAGGAGUGUAAUCCUCAUCCAAUCCAGCUAAUACUUGGCUCACAAGGUCAUUGUGAGAAACCCUUUUUCCUGCAAUUUCGAGGUUAUCUACUAGCUGCUUGACUAUGUUCAGCUAUUGAUCAAUACUCAUUGAGCCCUUUCUUGUUCUCUGAAGUUCACCAAUAAGAAAGGUGACUCUAGACUUGUUCAUAACUCCAAAACUUUCCUCGACAGCAUUCCGCAGAUCACAAGAGUUUGAAGAUCCCAUUACUCUCAUGGCAAUCUCUGGUGUCAUUGAAGUAAAAAGCCAGCCCAUCAGUAGUUGAUCAGUGGACAUCCAUUUUCCAUACUCAACAUUUGGUGUCAAUUCAAUAGUUACAUCAGUUGAACCAGUGGUUUGUGUAGCCAGGAAUUUUGAUGGACAUUUGCUUGUGCCUGAGAUGAACCCUUCAAGGUUAUGGCCUUAAUGAUGGGCAUAACCAUGUUCUUCCACACCAGAAAUUUAUUUCUGUCUAGCUUUACUGGAGGAAAUUGGGUAAGACUUAUCCCAAAUGAUGUCAUUUGAUUUCCUCCCAACAUUGGAGGCAUCAACAUGCUUGAUGUUGGUUGAGCAGACUGCACUGUUGUUGGAUCCGGCGUUGGCCAUUGAAAUGCUCUAAUACCAUGACAAAAUUUAGAUACAAUUGCAAAGAACUUUUG